CCUUGUUUUGGCAGGAAUGACUUACAACUUCAAGAAACAACGCACCAACAACCUGAACACUCCAUAUGACUACUCUUCUGUGAUGCAUUAUGGGAGAACUGCUUUCACAGUCCAGAAUGGAAAGGAGACAAUCACUCCAAUUCCAAACCCAAAUGUGCGAAUUGGACAGAGACAGGGAAUGUCCACCACUGACAUCCUGAGGGUCAACAAACUCUAUGGAUGCUAACCAAACCCAAACUGAUGCUGUCCCAGUCUGGUACCACCACAUGACGUCUUGAUCACAGAACACAAUGUGACAGAUGAAUAUGUAUAUGUCUUGUGAGCAUCACUACUGUCAUAUUGAUAUUACUGGAAAAUAAAAUGACUGAAAAUAACUCAUUGUCUUGUUGUUGCUCUACUAUUUUCAUGCAAUAUGGCAAAAUAAUCUAUUUCCAGAAUCAGAAACAUAUCCUCUCAGUAUCCUUCUUUAAAAGAACAGCCGCACAACAGUUCA